rnacentral:rRNA from 1 species
AAAGAUUAAGCCAUGCAUGUCUAAGUAUAAGCGAUUAUACGGCGAAACUGCGAAUGGCUCAUUACACAAGUUAUCGUUUAUUUGAUAGCACCUUACUACUUGGAUAACCGUGGUAAUUCUAGAGCUAAUACAUGCUGAAAAUCCCAACUCCGGAAGGGAUGUAUUUAUUAGAUUCAAAACCAAUGCCCUCCGGGCUCACUGGUGAUUCAUGAUAACUUCGCGGAUCGCACGGCCUUGUGCCGGCGAUGGUUCAUUCAAAUUUCUUCCCUAUCAACUUUCGAUGUUUGGGUAGUGGCCAAACAUGGUUGCAACGGGUAACGGAGGGUUAGGGCUCGACCCCGGAGAAGGAGCCUGAGAAACGGCUACUACAUCCAAGGAAGGCAGCAGGCGCGCAAAUUACCCAAUCCCGACUCGGGGAGGUAGUGACAAUAAAUACUGAUACAGGGCCCUUUCGGGUCUUGUAAUUGGAAUGAGUACAACUUAAAUCCCUUAACGAGGAACAAUUGGAGGGCAAGUCUGGUGCCAGCAGCCGCGGUAAUUCCAGCUCCAAUAGCGUAUAUUAAAGUUGUUGUGGUUAAAAAGCUCGUAGUUGAACCUCGGGCCUGGCUGGCCGGUCCGCCUCAUCGCGUGUACUGGCCCGGCCCGGGCCCCUCCCUCUGUGGAGCCCCAUGCCCUUCACUGGGCGUGGCGGGGAAGCAGGACUUUUUACUUUGAAAAAAUUAGAGUGCUCCAGGCAGGCCUAUGCUCAAAUACAUUAGCAUGGAAUAAUGAAAUAGGACGCGCGGUUCUAUUUUGUUGGUUUCUAGGACCGCCGUAAUGAUUAAUAGGGACAGUCGGGGGCAUCAGUAUUCGAUCGUCAGAGGUGAAAUUCUUGGAUCGAUUGAAGACUCACUACUGCGAAAGCAUUUGCCAAGGAUGUUUUCAUUAAUCAGGAACGAAAGUUAGGGGAUCGAAGACGAUCAGAUACCGUCGUAGCCUUAACCAUAAACUAUGCCGACUAGGGAUCGGACGAUGUUGUUUUUUUGACUCGUUCGGCACCUUACGAGAAAUCAAAGUGCUUGGGCUCCAGGGGGAGUAUGGUCGCAAGGCUGAAACUUAAAGAAAUUGACGGAAGGGCACCACCAGGGGUGGAGCCUGCGGCUUAAUUUGACUCAACACGGGGAAACUCACCAGGUCCAGACACAAUGAGGAUUGACAGAUUGAGAGCUCUUUCUUGAUUUUGUGGGUGGUGGUGCAUGGCCGUUCUUAGUUGGUGGAGUGAUUUGUCUGCUUAAUUGCGAUAACGAACGAGACCUUAACCUGCUAAAUAGCCCGCGUCGCUGCGGCGGCGCGCCGGCUUCUUAGAGGGACUAUCGGCUCAAGCCGAUGGAAGUUUGAGGCAAUAACAGGUCUGUGAUGCCCUUAGAUGUUCUGGGCCGCACGCGCGCUACACUGACGGAGCCAGCGAGUAACUCCCUUGGCCGGAAGGCCCGGGUAAUCUUGUUAAACUCCGUCGUGCUGGGGAUAGAGCAUUGCAAUUAUUGCUCUUCAACGAGGAAUCCCUAGUAAGCGCAAGUCAUCAGCUUGCGUUGAUUACGUCCCUGCCCUUUGUACACACCGCCCGUCGCUACUACCGAUUGAAUGGCUCAGUGAGGCGCCCGGACUGGCCCAGGGGGGGGUGGGCAACCGCUACCCAGGGCCGGAAAGCUCUCCAAACUCGGUCAUUUAGAGGAAGUAAAAGUCGUAACAAGUCUCCGUUGGUGAACCAGCGGAGGGAUCAUUACCGAGUCGUCCGACUCCCGAACCCCCCCAGUGAACCCCCUCGCAGGGGCCCCCUGCGAGGACGUUGCCUCGGCGGGUGAGCGCGGGGGCAGGGUGGCGGGUCCCGGGCAGCUCCCGCCCGUGGCCCACCCCACCCCUUUACCCGCCCGCCCGCCGCAGGGAGAGCAAACCCGAUCAUUUUCCAGUGUGUCCCUCUGAGUGUUGUACAGGAAGGAAUGAAUCCAAAACUUUCAACAACGGAUCUCUUGGCUCUGGCAUCGAUGAAGAACGCAGCGAAAUGCGAUAAGUAAUGUGAAUUGCAGAGUUCAGCGAAUCAUCGAAUCUUUGAACGCACAUUGCGCCCGCCAGUACUCUGGCGGGCAUGCCUGUCCGAGCGUCAUCUCGACCCCUCGGGUGGCCCGCCUCUCCUCCGGGCAGGGGGGGGGUUUAUGGGCCGGCCCGGCGUUGGGGGACGGCCGCCGACCCGAGCGCGCGCCGCCCCCGAAAUGCAGUGGCGACCCCCUCGCCGCGGCCUCCCUCUGCGUGUUAGUACGGUCACGAACCUCGCACCGGGAGCGCGGAGCCGGUCACGCCCGGCGGCGAUCCGAACCGAUCUGCCGCCCCCAUCCGCCAUGACGCUGACCUCGGAUCAGGUAGGAGUACCCGCCGAACUUAA